rnacentral:rRNA from 1 species
CGUAGGUGGCAAGCGUUGUCCGGAUUUAUUGGGUUUAAAGGGUGCGUAGGCGGUCCUGUAAGUCAGUUGUGAAAUACUUCAGCUUAACUGGAGAGGUGCAAUUGAUACUGCGGGACUAGAGUACUGAUGAGGUAAGCGGAAUGGACGGUGUAGCGGUGAAAUGCUUAGAUAUCGUCCAGAGCACCGAUAGCGAAGGCAGCUUACUAAGGAGUAACUGACGCUGAGGCACGAAAGUGUGGGGAUCAAACAGGAUUAGAUACCCUGGUAGUCCACACUGUAAACGAUGAUCACUCGAUGUUGGCGAUACACGGCCAGCGUCUUAGCAAAAGCGAUAAGUGAUCCACCUGGGGAGUACGCCGGCAACGGUG